rnacentral:lncRNA from 1 species
GAGCUGAACGUGGACAGCCUCAUCACCCGCCUGCUGGAGCUGCUAUUGUUGAUGAGAAAAUCUUCUGCUGUCAUGGAGGACUGUCACCAGACCUACAGUCUAUGGAACAGAUUCGGAGAAUUAUGAGACCCACUGACGUACCUGAUACAGAUAUUGAAACCAUCUGAAAAGAAAGCUAAGUACCAGUAUGGUGGGCUGAAUUCUGGACGUCCUGUCACUCCGCCUCGAACAGCUAAUCCACCGAAGAAAAGGUGAAGACAGGAAUUCCGGAAAGAGAAACCAUCAGAUUUGUUAAGGACAUACUUCAUAAUAUAUAAGUGUGCACUGUAAAACCAUCCAGCCAUUCGACACCCUUUAUGAUGUCACACCUUUAACUUAAGGAGACGGGUAAAGGAUCUUAAAUUUUUUUCUAAUAGAAAGAUGUGCUACACUGUAUUGUAAUAAGUAUACUCUGUUAUAAUAUUCAACAAAGUUAAAUCCAAAUUCAAAAGUAUCCAUUAAAGUUCUAUCUUCUCAUAUCACAGUUUUUAAAGUUGAAAGCAUCCCAGUUAAACUAGCUGCGUUAGUUACCCAGAUGAGAGCAUGAAGAUCCAUCUGUGUAAUGUGGCUUUAGUGUUGCUUGGUUGUUUCUUUAUUUUGGGCUUGUUUUGUUUUGUUUGUUUUUG